UCUGAGCACUGCAACUGUGGCCAGUGGCCCAGGGCUCUGCAUUCUUAAUUUGAUGUAAUACACGCAGAUGCAGAUAGUUGUGUGGCCAGUGGCCGCUGUCGGACAGCAUGGCUCAAGGCAUUUUCAUCCUCUGCUGACCAAGAGCACCCAGACGAAGCUCGUCCAGUUAGCCUUAUCCCCCAGGCACACCUGGCUGCUUCUCAGUUCUUCCUCUACCCACAGCAGGGAGGACUGUGGUGAUGCCACAGCUCCGGUCCUGCCAUAUGAACCAGGACAAACCCAAAGCAUAGGAUCCUGCUGCCUGUCACAAGAGCACAACCCUAUCAUUGCCCUCCUGAAUCUUCCACGGCUGCUCAGGCCCCAGCCCACAGGGGCCGGAAGGACAGAUAGAGGCUGGAGGCAAAGAGGGAAGAGGCAUAGAGAGACCCUCCCUGACAAUGAAGCCAACACACAGAAGCAGAGCCAGGUGAUGGGAAGAGAGAGAGGCACUGAAUAUUAGCAUCAUUUGACUCCUGGAUCAAGCCAUUCCUGAAGGUCUUUACUGCCUAGUUACCCUAAUAUAUUUACAGCAUCAAGUUCUCUUUUUGCCUCAGAGUUUGAAUGUUUGCGUCAUUUCCAACCAACAGCCCUGACCAAUACACACGAAAUGCACCCUGUUCCAAGGAGACAGCUCAUAUUUCCAUCAGAGUCUCCAAAGACCAACAAGAAGAACCUCCUCCUCGCUUACUCACUUUUCCAUAGCCUUUUAAGGCCUAACAACAUGCCUUUGUGCCUCAGUUUCCUCAUCUGCAAAAUG